CAGAAGCUAAGCAGCGCUGAGACUCGAUAGUACCUAGAUGGGAGACCUCCAGGGAAAACUAGGUUGCUGCUGACAUGUCUCUUUAUGUUGUGGCACUUCCAGUAGUGAUACCUGCAGCUGUCUGCCGGAGUAUGUAGAUAAGGACCUUUGAACUCCAGUUUUUACUGAUGUCAAGGACAUCCUUCCCUACUCACAUGAUUGUGGCUUUAAACCUCUUUGAUCGAUGGGUUUUGUAUGAUGAUGAUGAGCCAUCCUAUGAGGAUUUUAACCCCAUGCAGGCUGAUUUUAAAAGAGAUUUUAAUAUCCAUUUUGCUGGCUAUGUUAAAACACAGAAUGUGCAAAUCGGAGUAGCCGAAGAGGGAUACUGUGGCACUGUUCCUUUUAAUCCUUACCGUGGUUUUCAAAAGGAACACAAUGAUUGAG